CUUUUUCUCUGUGCAUCCUCAGUGACGCGGGGCACAGCUCUGCCCGGGGGCCUCCCAGAGCCCACCUGGACCCCACACUGGGUCAGCCCUGGUGCGGAGGAGGCCGCUGCGCGACCAGGUCACAGUCGGCACCAGAAGUUUGGCAGAUCUCAGUGAGGCGUUCGUUUGCAUUUCCUUGUGACGGGUUUUGACUGGAAUGCCAGGCUUAACGUUGCUCAGAAGUUGCUUCUAUGAGGAUGUCUCCCAGCAGCUGUCGGUGUUUCCAAUGAGUCAUUGCCAGCCCCUGCAAUGAGCCUCUCAGGCUGGUAAGUUUUGUUUCAGAACCACUUCCUCGAGCUUCUUUUGCCUUUAAAAGCUUCUUCUUGCCCCAGCCUCCCAGGUAAUGCCUGUGAUCCGUCAUGGCUCACACAUCCUGGCUGAUAAUCCCCUGCUGUUCUCCACAGAGUGCCUUCAUUUUGAGAGCUGCUCGCUGCCUGUUGUUGUUUCAGUUGACGGCCCACUGCUGUGUGCAGAGUUCACCAGCCACUGUGAUGUGCAGUGCAGCAGCUGACCUGCCUGCCCUGUGGUUUUCUAAUCCCAUCGAGGG
rnacentral:lncRNA from 1 species